rnacentral:rRNA from 1 species
UGUUGCCUACGGGGGGCAGCAGUGAGGAAUAUUGGUCAAUGGGCUUACGCCUGAACCAGCCAAGUCGCGUGAGGGAAGACUGCCCUAUGGGUUGUAAACCUCUUUUGUCAGGGAGCAACGCCGGCUACGUGUAGCCGGACUGAGGGUACCUGAAGAAGAAGCAUCGGCUAACUCCGUGCCAGCAGCCGCGGUAAUACGGAGGAUGCGAGCGUUAUCCGGAUUUAUUGGGUUUAAAGGGUGCGUAGGCGGGACGGUAAGUCAGCGGUAAAAAUGCGGAGCUCAACUCCGUCGAGCCGUUGAAACUG